UAUGAAGGGGGCUAGCGUUGUUCGGAAUUACUGGGCGUAAAGCGCGUGUAGGCGGGUCUUUAAGUUCAGGGGUGAAAUGCCAAGGCUCAACCUUGGAACUGCCUUUGAUACUGGAGACCUUGAGUCCGGGAGAGGUGAGUGGAAUUGCGAGUGUAGAGGGUGAAAUUCGUAGAUAUUCGCAAGAACACCAGUGGCGAAGGCGGCUCACUGGCCCGAUACUGACGCUGAGGCACGAAAGCGUGGGGAGCAAACAGGG
rnacentral:rRNA from 1 species